rnacentral:rRNA from 1 species
GAUGAACGCUGGCGGCGUGCCUAACACAUGCAAGUCGAACGAGAUGCGUAUCGGAAAGCUUCGGCCGGAAGAUACGUUAUCUAGUGGCGGACGGGUGAGUAACACGUGGGUAACCUGCCUUAUGGAGGGGGAUAACAGAGAGAAAUCACUGCUAAUACCGCAUAAGCACACAGUACCGCAUGGUACAGGGUGAAAAGAUUUAUCGCCAUAAGAUGGACCCGCGUCUGAUUAGCCAGUUGGCAGGGUAAAAGCCUACCAAAGCAACGAUCAGUAGCCGAUCUGAGAGGAUGACCGGCCACAUUGGGACUGAGACACGGCCCAAACUCCUACGGGAGGCAGCAGUGGGGAAUAUUGCACAAUGGGGGAAACCCUGAUGCAGCGACGCCGCGUGAGUGAAGAAGUAUUUCGGUAUGUAAAGCUCUAUCAGCAGGGAAGAUAAUGACAGAC